AACAAGGAAUAUAUGGUCGCGCGGGAUGCUCCUGAUGACAGGUGCAUUCCGUGAGGGAAAGUCCGGGCUCCACCGGAAAAGAUGCCGGAUAAUAACCGGGCAGAAAGGAUAGUUGCCUAAUACAACUGGCAUAACUCUUUUCUGACAGAAAGUGCUACAGAAAACAACCGCCUGUUUUACGGGUAAGGGUGAAAAGGCAGGGUAAGAGCCUACCGCGCUUCUGGCAACAGCGGCGGCAUAAGCAAACCUCAUCUGGAG
rnacentral:RNase_P_RNA from 1 species